CAGCAGCCGCGGGAAUACGUAGGGUGCGAGCGUUAAUCGGAAUUACUGGGCGUAAAGCGUGCGCAGGCGGUUUUGUAAGACAGGCGUGAAAUCCCCGGGCUCAACCUGGGAAUGGCGCUUGUGACUGCACAGCUAGAGUAUGGCAGAGGGGGGUGGAAUUCCACGUGUAGCAGUGAAAUGCGUAGAGAUGUGGAGGAACACCGAUGGCGAAGGCAGCCCCCUGGGCCAAUACUGACGCUCAUGCACGAAAGCGUGGGGAGCAAACAGGAUUAGAUACCCCGGUAGUCCCUGUCUCUUAUAC
rnacentral:rRNA from 1 species